rnacentral:tRNA from 1 species
CGGUGGCUUAAUGGAUAAGGCACUGCCCUCCUAAGCCAGGGAUUGUGGGUUCGAGUCCCACCUG